UACAAGAAAACAGCCGAUUACCGACUACAGCAGCCGACUAUUCAUGUAGUCGCCAAUUUUAGCGACUAUCUUGCUUCUUUUUUACGACUAUUAAACGACUACAGAAAAGUAGUCGUAACGUAGUCGCCAAAGAGCGACAAAAACCAGUUGUCAGUAAUGUAGUCGCUAUAUGGCGACUACUUACCGACUAAUAAGUUGAAUAUAUAUCUAAGUCGUAUAUUAGUCGCUAUUUUAGCGACUAUUGUCUGACAACUUCUGUUAGUC
rnacentral:lncRNA from 1 species